GACGAACGCUGGCGGCGUGCCUAAUACAUGCAAGUCGUGCGGGCCUUGUUGAAAGCUUGCUUUUAACAAGGCUAGCGGCGGACGGGUGAGUAACACGUGGGCAACCUGCCUGUAAGACCGGGAUAACGCCGGGAAACCGGGGCUAAUACCGGAUAGUUUUUUCCUCCGCAUGGAGGAAAAAGGAAAGGCGGCUUCGGCUGCCACUUACAGA
rnacentral:rRNA from 1 species